UACGUAGGGACCAAGCGUUGUUCGGAUUUACUGGGCGUAAAGGGCGCGUAGGCGGCAUGGCAAGUCACUUGUGAAAUCUCCGGGCUUAACUCGGAACGGCCAAGUGAUACUGCUGUGCUAGAGUGCGGAAGGGGCAACUGGAAUUCUUGGUGUAGCGGUGAAAUGCGUAGAUAUCAAGAGGAACACCUGCGGCGAAGGCGGGUUGCUGGGCCGACACUGACGCUGAGGCGCGAAAGCUAGGGGAGCGAACGGG
rnacentral:rRNA from 1 species